CGUGCCAGCAGCCGCGGUAAUACGUAGGUGGCAAGCGUUAUCCCGGAUUUAUUGGGCGUAAAGCGAGCGCAGGCGGUUUUUUAAGUCUGAUGUGAAAGCCCUCGGCUUAACCGAGGAAGUGCAUCGGAAACUGGGAAACUUGAGUGCAGAAGAGGACAGUGGAACUCCAUGUGUAGCGGUGAAAUGCGUAGAUAUAUGGAAGAACACCAGUGGCGAAGGCGGCUGUCUGGUCUGUAACUGACGCUGAGGCUCGAAAGCAUGGGUAGCGAACAGGAUUAGAUACCCUGGUAGUCCAUGCCGUAAACGAUGAAUGCUAGGUGUUGGAGGGUUUCCGCCCUUCAGUGCCGCAGCUAACGCAUUAAGCAUUCCGCCUGGGGAGUACGACCGCAAGGUUGAAACUCAAAGGAAUUGACGGGGGCCCGCACAAGCGGUGGAGCAUGUGGUUUAAUUUGAAGCAACGCGAAGAACCUUACCAGGUCUUGACAUCUUUUGAUCACCUGAGAGAUCAGGUUUCCCCUUCGGGGGCAAAAUGACAGGUGGUGCAUGGUUGUCGUCAGCUCGUGUCGUGAGAUGUUGGGUUAAGUCCCGCAACGAGCGCAACCCUUAUGACUAGUUGCCAGCAUUUAGUUGGGCACUCUAGUAAGACUGCCGGUGACAAACCGGAGGAAGGUGGGGAUGACGUCAAAUCAUCAUGCCCCUUAUGACCUGGGCUACACACGUGCUACAAUGGAUGGUACAACGAGUUGCGAGACCGCGAGGUCAAGCUAAUCUCUUAAAGCCAUUCUCAGUUCGGACUGUAGGCUGCAACUCGCCUACACGAAGUCGGAAUCGCUAGUAAUCGCGGAUCAGCACGCCGCGGUGAAUACGUUCCCGGGCCUUGUACACACCGCCCGUCACACCAUGAGAGUUUGUAACACCCGAAGCCGGUGGCGUAACCCU
rnacentral:rRNA from 2 species